GGGCGAUUAGCUCAGGGGGAGAGCGCUUCCUUGACACGGAAGAGGUCAGAGGUUCAAAUCCUCUAUCGCCCA
rnacentral:tRNA from 2 species